rnacentral:misc_RNA from 1 species
CUCUUUCAGAUGGUGGCAAUCCAGAACUCUUUCUCUUACGAUAUACGUCUUUCGUAGCAUUCUUGUCUCCAGUAUUCCGUGGGGCCCAGGAAAAAGCUCUGCGAGCUUCUUUUUGCAAGUUACUUAAGCUGCUACUAAAUGAUGACCUUGCAGGCGCACCUGUUUUUGUUUUUGGUUUCGGUCUUGCUCCAGACACAGAAAUCCGAGGUUCUCUGGAGGGAGAACUUAUACUUACAGCAAUAGCUUUAGCAGCAUAUGAAA